UACGUAGGGUGCAAGCGUUAAUCGGAAUACUGGGCGUAAAGCGUGCGCAGGCGGUGAUGUAAGACAGGUGUGAAAUCCCCGGGCUUAACCUGGGAACUGCAUUUGUGACUGCAUCGCUGGAGUGCGGCAGAAGGGGAUGGAAUUCCGCGUGUAGCAGUGAAAUGCGUAGAUAUGCGGAGGAACACCGAUGGCGAAGGCAAUCCCCUGGGCCUGUACUGACGCUCAUGCACGAAAGCGUGGGGAGCAAACAGG
rnacentral:rRNA from 1 species